rnacentral:rRNA from 1 species
GACAGAGGGUGCAAACGUUGCUCGGAAUCACUGGGCAUAAAGCGCACGUAGGCCGUUCACUAAGUCCGAUGUGAAAUCCCCCGGCUCAACCGGGGAACUGCAUCGGAUACUGGUGAACUCGAGAGUUGUAGGGGUGGACGGAACUCCAGGUGGAGCGGUGAAAUGCGUAGAUAUCUGGAGGAACACCGGAGGCGAAAGCGGUCCACUGGGCAACUUCUGACGCUGAUGGUGCGAAAAGCUAGGGUACGCAAACGGGGA